GAUGAACGCUGGCGGCGUGCCUAAUACAUGCAAGUCGAGCGAACGGACGAGAAGCUUGCUUUUCUGAUGUUAGCGGCGGACGGGUGAGUAACACGUGGAUAACCUACCUAUAAGACUGGGAUAACUUCGGGAAACCGGAGCUAAUACCGGAUAAUAUUUUGAACCGCAUGGUUCAAAAGUGAAAGACGGUCUUGCUGUCACUUAUAGAUGGAUCCGCGCUGCAUUAGCUAGUUGGUAAGGUAACGGCUCACCAAGGCAACGAUGCAUAGCCGACCUGAGAGGGUGAUCGGCCACACUGGAACUGAGACACGGUCCAGACUCCUACGGGAGGCAGCAGUAGGGAAUCUUCCGCAAUGGGCGAAAGCCUGACGGAGCAACGCCGCGUGAGUGAUGAAGGUCUUCGGAUCGUAAAACUCUGUUAUUAGGAAGAACAUAUGUGUAAGUAACUGUGCACAUCUUGACGGUACCUAAUCAGAAAGCCACGGCUAACUACGUG
rnacentral:rRNA from 1 species